UGCGUAGGCGGUUUGUUAAGUCACUUGUAAAAGAUCUCAGCCCAACUGAGUAAGGCGAGUGAAACUGGCAGACUUGAAUACGGUAGAGGUAAGUGGAAUUCCAUGUGUAGCGGUGGAAUGCGUAGAUAUAUGGAGGAACACCAAUGGCGAAGGCAACUUACUGGGCCGGAAUUGACGCUGAGGCACGAAAGCGUGGGGAGCAAACAGGAUUAGAUACCCUGGUAGUCC
rnacentral:rRNA from 1 species